GACUGUUUUCUUCUAGCUCUUACCUAGAUAGAUACUUUGAAUUCCCUAAGAGUCUAUUGCCCAGUAAAUGGUAAUAUUCUUCUUAGUUUGCAGUUUGUUACUUCUUGCCCAAUACCCGUUAAAAGUACCCAUGUUUUCCCAGCAGUAGAGUCCCUAAUGGAUCUGAUUCCCCAGGAAGUAUAUCCUUAAUAUGUUCACCCUAACUGGUAACAAAUAUCUUUCUCUCCUCUGCUUGAGUCUAUCCUUGAUAUGUUCAUCCUAACCUGAUGACGGAUAUUCUCUUU
rnacentral:lncRNA from 1 species